rnacentral:rRNA from 1 species
AUGAUGUUUGCAGCAGUCGAUAACCCAUCUAAUGCGGUUGAGUGGGCACUUGCUGAGAUGAUGAACAUGCCAGAGAUCAUGCAGAAAGCAACAGAGGAACUCGAUGCUGUCGUCGGUAAAGAUAGACUGGUGCAGGAGUCUGACAUUCCUCAGCUAAACUAUCUCAAAUCGUGCAUCCAGGAGGCCUUUCGCUUACACCCAUACCAUGCUCUUAACGUACCCCAUGUCACCAUGGCGGACACAACUAUUGCUGGCUACACCAUCCCCAAGGAUAACCACAUACUUUUAAGCCGGCUUGGACUUGGCCGCAAUCCCAAGAUCUGGACUGAACCACUGGAGUUUCAGCCUGAGAGGCAUUUGAACACUGCGAAUGUACUUCUCACUGAUCCAGGCCUACGUUUCAUUUCAUUUAGCAGUGGGAGGAGGGGUUGUCCUGGGAUUUCACUUGGUACCUCUAUGACAAUGAUGUUGUUCGCAAGGAUGUUGCAGGGAUUCACUUGGACAAAGCUUCCCGGCGUUAAGAGUAUCAGUCUCCAAGAACGCAAUGCGGGUGUUGCACUAGCUGAGCCCCUUGUUCUGCAAGCUACACCGCGAUUGGCUGCACAUCUCUAUAUAUGA